rnacentral:lncRNA from 1 species
UUGAAUCUGUAAAUAUGGAGAAAACCCAACAUUCCUUGUUUCUGCCAGAAACAGUGUGUCAUACAAAGUAGGUAUAUUCCCUUUUAUUCAGAACACCCAAGUAUAACUUUCAGUAUUAACAAAUUUUGGGGUUCGUACUGUGGGUUUGUUCUUUCACGUUCAUUCUCAUCUAUAAUGGAAUUAUCUCAUUCCAUUUUGGCCAAUAAUAUUGUCGAC